rnacentral:rRNA from 1 species
AGAGUUUGAUCAUGGCUCAGAUUGAACGCUGGCGGCAUGCCUUACACAUGCAAGUCGAACGGCAGCACGGGGGCAACCCUGGUGGCGAGUGGCGAACGGGUGAGUAAUACAUCGGAACGUGCCCUGUAGUGGGGGAUAGCCCGGCGAAAGCCGGAUUAAUACCGCAUACGACCUAAGGGUGAAAGCGGGGGACCUGCAAGGGCCUCGCGCAGUUGGAGCGGCCGAUGUCAGAUUAGCUAGUUGGUGGGGUAAAAGCCUACCAAGGCGACGAUCUGUAGCUGGUCUGAGAGGACGACCAGCCACACUGGGACUGAGACACGGCCCAGACUCCUACGGGAGGCAGCAGUGGGGAAUUUUGGACAAUGGGCGCAAGCCUGAUCCAGCCAUGCCGCGUGCGGGAAGAAGGCCUUCGGGUUGUAAACCGCUUUUGUCAGGGAAGAAACGCUUUGGGCUAAUACCCCGGGGUAAUGACGGUACCUGAAGAAUAAGCACCGGCUAACUACGUGCCAGCAGCCGCGGUAAUACGUAGGGUGCAAGCGUUAAUCGGAAUUACUGGGCGUAAAGCGUGCGCAGGCGGUUAUGCAAGACAGAUGUGAAAUCCCCGGGCUCAACCUGGGAACUGCAUUUGUGACUGUAUAGCUAGAGUGCGGUAGAGGGGGAUGGAAUUCCGCGUGUAGCAGUGAAAUGCGUAGAUAUGCGGAGGAACACCGAUGGCGAAGGC